UUGCUACAUUUAGUUGGGCACUCUAAUGGGACUGCCGGUGACAAACCGGAGGAAGGUGGGGAUGACGUCAAGUCCUCAUGGCCCUUAUAGGUGGGGCUACACACGUCAUACAAUGGCCGGUACAAAGGGUAGCCAACCCGCGAGGGGGAGCCAAUCCCAUAAAGCCGGUCGUAGUCCGGAUCGCAGUCUGCAACUCGACUGCGUGAAGUCGGAAUCGCUAGUAAUCGUGGAUCAGCAUGUCACGGUGAAUACGUUCCCGGGUCUU
rnacentral:rRNA from 1 species